ACGGGUGAGUAAUGUCUGGGGAUCUGCCCGAUAGAGGGGGAUAACCACUGGAAACGGUGGCUAAUACCGCAUAACGUCCCAAGACCAAAGAGGGGGACCUUCGGGCCUCUCACUAUCGGAUGAACCCAGAUGGGAUUAGCUAGUAGGCGGGGUAAUGGCCCACCUAGGCGACGAUCCCUAGCUGGUCUGAGAGGAUGACCAGCCACACUGGAACUGAGACACGGUCCAGACUCCUAGGGAGGCAGCAGUGGGGAAUAUUGCACAAUGGGCGCAAGCCUGAUGCGCCAUGCCGCGUGUAUGAAGAAGGCCUUCGGGUUGUAAAGUACUUUCAGCGGGGAGGAAGGCGAUGUGGUUAAUAACCGCGUCGAUUGACGUUACCCGCAGAAGAAUCACCGGCUAACUCCGUGCCAGCAGCCGCGGUAAUACGGAGGGUGCAAGCGUUAAUCGGAAUUACUGGGCGUAAAGCGCACGCAGGCGGUCUGUUAAGUCAGAUGUGAAAUCCCCGGGCUUAACCUGGGAACUGCAUUUGAAACUGGCAGGCUUGAGUCUCGUAGAGGGCGGUAGAAUUCCUCGUGU
rnacentral:rRNA from 1 species